AGCAGCCGCGGUAAUUCCAGCUCCAAUAGCGUAUAUUAAAGUUGUCGCAGUUAAAAAGCUCGUAGUUGAAUUUCGGGACCAAUAUGUCGGUCGUACUUUGUACGUACUAGCAUUAUUGGUUUCUCCCUUCUGAAGAACCACGAUGUCAUUAAUUUGGUGUCGUGGGGAAUCAGGACUGUUACUUUGAAAAAAUUAGAGUGUUUAAAGCAGGCUCGCGCUUGAAUACAUUAGCAUGGAAUAAUGAAAUAGGACGUUUGAUUCUAUUUUGUUGGUUUCUAGGAUUGACGUAAUGAUUAAUAGGGAUAGUUGGGGCAUUAGUAUUCAAUUGUCAGAGGUGAAAUUCUUGGAUUUAUUGAAGACUAACUACUGCGAAAGCAUUUGCCAAGGAUGUUUCAUUAAUCAAGAACGAAAGUUAGGGAUCGAAGACGAUCAGAUACGUCGUAGU
rnacentral:rRNA from 1 species